rnacentral:rRNA from 1 species
UACGUAGGGGGCAAGCGUUGUCCGGAUUUAUUGGGCGUAAAGAGCUCGUAGGCGGUUUGGUAAGUCUGGUGUGAAAUCUCCACGCUACAACGUGGAGGGGCCACCCGAUACUGCCAUGACUGGAGUCCGGUAGAGGAGUGUGGAAGUUCCCGGUGUAGCGGUGAAAUGCGUAGAUAUCGGGAGGAACACCAGUAGCGAAGGCGGCUCGCUGGGCCAUUCCUGACGCUGAGACGCGAAAGCUAGGGGAGCGAACGAG